CCUACGGGGCGCAGCAGUGGGGAAUAUUGGACAAUGGGCGAAAGCCUGAUCCAGCCAUGCCGCGUGUGUGAAGAAGGCCUUCGGGUUGUAAAGCACUUUCAGUGGGGAAGAAAGCCUUGGGGCUAAUACCCUCGAGGAAGGACAUCACCCACAGAAGAAGCACCGGCUAACUCCGUGCCAGCAGCCGCGGUAAUACGGAGGGUGCGAGCGUUAAUCGGAAUUACUGGGCGUAAAGCGCGCGUAGGCGGUCUGAUAAGCCGGUUGUGAAAGCCCCGGGCUCAACCUGGGAACGGCAUCCGGAACUGUCAGGCUAGAGUGCAGGAGAGGAAGGGAGAAUUCCCGGUGUAGCGGUGAAAUGCGUAGAGAUCGGGAGGAAUACCAGUGGCGAAGGCGGCCUUCUGGACUGACACUGACGCUGAGGUGCGAAAGCGUGGGUAGCAAACAGGAUUAGAUACCCUUGUAGUC
rnacentral:rRNA from 1 species